UUCAAUAAAACAAAAUUCACUCUAAAAUCCCCAAAUCUAUUGUGUAAACCCUAAAUUGGGAACCAAUUGUUCAUGAGAGUUGAAAACAAAACCCCGAUGGGUGCCAAAAAUUGAGUCCACUUUAAUGGUGUAACCCUGCAAUUAGCAUCAAAUGGAGGAGCCGAUCACUGAGAGCGAUGAUUACGCCAGCCACCGUCAGCUUGUUGUCGUCGAAGACGUCACCCCUAUAUCUCAUUCAUUUUCCAGUUCAUCUUCAAUCACUCCGUUAGCCGCUAACGAUAGUUCUCCCCUUCAAAAGAAGAAAAUGCCGCCCAGACGAAACACAAACACCAAUCCGUUACCACGAACUGAGGCGGAACUCAACGAGCGCAUAUCACUGGCAAUAGCGCAGCAUGAAGCCCUCCGCUCUGAACAAAGCGGUGGCACUUCAGGAAACAAUCCUCCCACUGGCUGCACCUACAAACAGUUUCUAGACUGUAAGCCCUUGAACUUUGAUGGCACAAGAGGUGCCAUUGCUUUUAUUCGAUGGGUUGAAAAGACUGACUCAGUUCUGAGGUUGAGUAAAUGUUUGCCUGAGCAGAGAGUUACCUACAUCUCGGGAUUAUUCAUGGAUGGUGCACUCUCUUGGUGGAACCUUCAGGUUCAAACCAAGGGUGAAACUACUGCUUACGCAAUGAGCUGGGACGAGCUCAAGGAACUGAUGCGAAAGAAAUACUGCUCCAAGGCCGAGAUCCAGAAGCUUGAAACUGAGUUCUGGAACUUGAAAAUGGAUGGGCCAAAGAUUGCUGAGUACAUCCAACGUUUUCAUGACUUAUCUAGGGUUGUUCCCUAUUUGGUUGAGCCUGAGUUUAAGAGGAUCGAAAGAUUCAUUUGGGGUCUUGCUCCUCAAAUCCUGAGCAUGGUUACUGCCUCAAAGCCUCCGACCAUUUCAGAGGCUAUUGACAUGGGUGUCGCGCUCACGGAAGAGGCACUUCGUAUGGGAAAAUUCUUAAAAUUAGAGACAAACAAGAAAGAGACUCGUGUGGAGUCUUCAGGCGACAACAAAAGAAAGUUUUCAAAGCUGAAGAAAGGCACCCAAGCAAGCCAUGACAACUCACCCGCAAACAAACGAAGGGAAGCAAACCCGCCUCUUGGCACGAAAGCUUAUGGAGCCACCAAUGAGACCAGUGGUAAGGGUUAUUUGGGGACUAAGCCAAGAUGUGAUAGAUGCAAGUUUCACCAUGAUGGUCGAUGCCCGAGACCUAAGUGUGACAAAUGUGGAAAAGAUGGGCACAACAAGGAAACCUGUUGGGCAAGAUAUGCCAACCGAGGAAGGAAUGGUAACUACCACCAAGGUGGUAACAAUAAUCAGGGUGGAAAUCACAAAAACAAUCAGGAAGGGAACAACAACAACAAUAAUAACAACAAUGAAGGUGGAAAUGGUAAUGGUCGAGGCCAAGGUUGUUUCAACUGUGGAGACAUGGGGCACUUUAGAAAGGAUUGCCCUAAGGAGAAUCAAGCACGAGAAAGAGUCUUCACGAUUGGAGCUCGUGAAGCGCGCUAGGACCCGAAUGUUGUGACGGGUAGUGGCACGACUCGCGGACAUCAUCUUUGAGUGUACACGACUUCUGACGCAAACCUGAAGAUAAAUGGAUCGUGGUGCAGCAUUGUCUACAAGUUUUUGGGUUUCAAGUCUAGAUGUCAUCCAUAUUUUGGAGGGUUUGGUUUGUAUAUCCCAUCUUUGAUGAGAUAUAGAACGCAAAGCCUCGAGAAGCUUAUCUUUUGUUAAAACAAGUCCUUUGAUGGAACUUUAAAACUUAUGUUAGGUUGUAAUCUUAACUUAAUACUUGUGUUGGUUGGAAACCUAAACAACUUGUGUUUGUAAUGUUUUAAACUUAUGUAUGGAUGAACAUCGCUUAAUUUAAUGCAUGUAGUUGUUUGUUA